rnacentral:tRNA from 1 species
GGGGUUGUGGCUCAGUGGUAGAGUGCUCGCUUUGCAUGUGUGAGGCACUGGGUUCAAUCCUCAGCCCCA